AUUAGGUAGUUGGUGAGGUAAAGGCUCACCAAGCCAACGAUCUGUAGCUGGUCUGAGAGGACGACCAGCCACACUGGAACUGAGACACGGUCCAGACUCCUACGGGAGGCAGCAGUGGGGAAUUUUGGACAAUGGACGCAAGUCUGGAUCCAGCCAUUCCGCGUGCAGGAUGAAGGCCCACGGGUUGUAAACUGCUUUUGUACGGAACGAAAAGGUUUGUCUUAAUACGAUGAGCUCAUGACGGUACCGUAAGAAUAAGCACCGGCUAACUACGUG
rnacentral:rRNA from 1 species